CCUACGGGAGGCAGCAGUGAGGAAUAUUGGUCAAUGGACGAGAGUCUGAACCAGCCAAGCAGCGUGAAGGAUGACUGCCCUAUGGGUUGUAAACUUCUUUUAUAAAGGAAUAAAACGAGGCACGUGUGCCUUUUUGCAUGUACUUUAUGAAUAAGGAUCGGCUAACUCCGUGCCAGCAGCCGCGGUAAUACGGAGGAUCCGAGCGUUAUCCGGAUUUAUUGGGUUUAAAGGGAGCGUAGAUGGGUUGUUAAGUUAGUUGUGAAAGUUUGCGGCUCAACCGUAAAAUUGCAUUUGAUACUGGCAGUCUUGAGUGCAGUUGAGGUAGGCGGAAUGCGUGGUGUAGCGGUGAAAUGCUUAGAGAUCACGAAGAACCCCGAUUGCGAAGGCAGCUUACUAAGCUGUGACUGACAUUGAGGCUCGAAAGUGUGGGUAGCAAACAGGAUUAGAUACCCUUGUAGUC
rnacentral:rRNA from 1 species